AAAAUUAAAAACAACAAAUCUGGUUAAAGAUAUAUUGAGAACUGACUUCAUAACAAAAUUGAAAUUGUUGAGAGACUUUUUUGUGACACCCUAUAUAUUUUUAUGAUAAAAAUGGAAUCUAAAAAAAGUUUGUGCUACUUUGUUAUGCGAUCUAAGCGACUUUAGCUGUAUUCUUUGGGAAUGUCUUUAUCUGAUUGAGCUCAUGUUAAGCAAAUGAAAUUGCAUAAGGAAGUCCGCACAAAAAGUCUUAAUGAGGUGUUUUCUAUUCAGCAUUUUUCAGUGUUUUAUUUUGAAAUGUCUAAAAGGUAUUGACAUCAGUUUCGCCUCUUAGUUGUGAAUCCAAAAAUUUCUCAGAGGCCAAACCAGUGAAAUUUUAAGCACGUUGAUGAAAUUAUCAUUUUAUGUUUAUUCCCCAAAAUGUUUUUCAUUUAUUUUUAUUUGUACUUAAAAUGUGUCAAAAAGUAGAAAAUUUUUUGUCUGUUUAUUUUUUUGCUUGUAUGUUUCUUUCUGAAAGCUGAUUUUAGGUGUUUAUAAAUGAAAUAGCGUUUGGUACUUUUUAUGAUUAUUUUUUAUGUCUUUGUUGGAAUUUUUCGGAAUUUUUAAACUUGAGGCUGGAGAAUUAUGGGUCUUCAUUUCCUGACGAUUAUAUUUGGACUAGGGAUGUCCAAAACUAAACGAAUAGUCGAAUUCAACAAACCCUUGGAAUCAUUCGAUCUCAAUGCACAGUCCCAACUGAUUCCUUAUGAUAACUCUCUGAAAUUAAAAUAACCGUAGUCACACACAUCGGUGUCAAAAUAGAUUGUGAGUUUUACGCUAGCACACAAUUUUAUGGCCACUCUAUUGCAUUCUGGAUUUCAUGAAUUAUUUAAAAUGCUUUAAUUUAGAAACUUGUUAUUUCGCACAUUUUACAUCUGAUGGUUGGACAUAGAAAAGCCUUGAAUCAAUCAAAAUUAUAUUUAUCUCAACUGCCCCCCUCUCCCAAUUUUCAUAAAUUUCAAUGGUUCAUGCCACCAGCCGGUUUCCUCCAUCAUCAAGCUCAUGCAUCUGAAACAAAUACCUGGCUAUUCAAUCCCCAACAUGAAUUGGUAACAGGACGAAAGGCUGUGGUUCGCCAUAUGAUUAAGCCGUCUUAUCAGUCGGGAUAAAUAUGUAAAUCCUAUCUAAUUUCCCUUUAAAUUUGACCCAUUUUGGAAUAUUCCUACAACUACUCAUACACAUUUUCUUCAGAAUAAUAACUAAUCAGAUUACGGGGGCUCUCGAAGAAUUCGUACCAAGAUGGCGCACAACCUGUACCCGGUUAGGGUUUUUCAGGUUGUGCGUCAUCUUGGUACGAAUAUUUCCGAAGCGACAGGUUACGGCCAUUCCUAGUACUGGCACCAUAUAUGGUAGUACAUAAAACAGCAUUAUUUAAAUAUGCUAUGCAUCAAAAGUCUAUAAAUUAGUUUUAUAAUUAUCAAAUUUAAUAAUCGCCUGUUAAUUUAUUAAUUAGAUAUUAAUCAGAAUAUAUUUGUUUGAUAUCA